UGUCGCGGCCCUCCUUGGACGUUCCUCCCUUGACUUAGCCGCUUGUGAAGACGCAGGCGGCUUUCUUUUUGUGCACC
rnacentral:sRNA from 1 species